UGAAAAGUUAUCAGGGGCUUCUAACUUCUAAAUUAGCGGUAGCUACUAAUUUA
rnacentral:tRNA from 1 species